GUUUUAAUUCAAUACAAGUUUUAACUAUAUUUCAUUGUUCACAACCAGAUACUUAUAGUUCACUGACAUAGAGACAUCACAUUUCAUAUUUUUAUCAAAUAAAUUCCAGUGUGUAUUCACGUCGUACCCUUAAGCUUCAGCUUCAGCACCUGUGACUGUAAGAACUACACAGACACAGAAGUGGAAACCGAACUCAAAAGCCCCUUUAUAGCCAUGACCACGCUAUUACCAAUUAUGUUCGCCAGCUGCGUGCACCUCGUUUUGCAAUUUUCGCUCGUAAGCCCGAAUAAGGACCAAACCUUCUAGGGCAGCCUUGUAUUAUUUCUAUCCGACUUACAUCGACUUACUACCCAAUAAAUGGUUCCGUAUGGAUGGGUAUGUCAAGGUAGUGAUGGAGACAAUCUAUGUCGCCCAUUUUUGUGAGAUUACCAUGCUCUUCUGGACUAAACUAAAGGGUCCUACCGACAUGGGUCAUCGACACAUCAUUGAGGCAGAUGGCACUCGUUUAUUUUAUCGUUUAUUGUUAUUCACCGUGAUGAUCUCCCAAGCAACCCAUCAGUAUUACGGACUCUAUAACUUCGUAUUCCGUGCUUGCGUCUUUCGGUAAUUGUGUUAAACUGUUGAGAGCUCCUGAAUAACAUAAAGCUCUAGCAACUAAAAAGAGGCCACAAGAGGAAUUUUGAAGAAUUCAAAGUAUUAAGGAAAAUUCUUAAGGCCUUCGUUUAUUAAAAUUUUUAAAUAUCCGUACACACUAAAGUAAAAAGCUCGCGGUCAAUGUAAACUGCUUUAAUGUUUAAUGCAGAAUAAAAUCACUUAUAU